AGUGAACGCUGGCGGUAGGCCUAACACAUGCAAGUCGAACGGCAGCACAGUAAGAGCUUGCUCUUACGGGUGGCGAGUGGCGGACGGGUGAGGAAUAUAACGGAAUCUACAUUUUCGUGGGGGAUAACGAAGGGAAACUUACGCUAAUACCGCAUACGACCCACGGGUGAAAGCAGGGGAUCUUCGGACCUUGCGCGAAUGAAUGAGCCGAUGUCGGAGUAGCUAGUUGGCGGGGUAAAGGCCCACCAAGGGGCCGAUACGUAGCUGGUCUGAGAGGAUGGUCAGCCACACUGGAGGUGAGACACGGUCAUGGGUACUAAGGGAGGCAGCAGAGUGGAAUGGUGGGCAGUGGGCGGGAGUCUGAUCCAGCGAUACCACGUGUGUGAAGAAGGCGCUCGGGUUGUGAAGCCCUUUUUUUGGGAGAGAACAGCUGCAGCUUGAUACCCAGCUGUUCUGACGGUACUCAGAGAAUAAGCACCGGCUAACUUCGUG
rnacentral:rRNA from 1 species